UGGGGCGUAGUGUAAUUGGCAACACUGCAGAUUCUGACUCUGCCAUUCUAGGUUCGAGUCCUAGCGCCCCAG
rnacentral:tRNA from 1 species